AAAGGCCUCAUAUUUUUUAUUUUAGCUUAGUGACUAUUUGUUGGGACCUUCCCUGUUUCCUUAUUGUUUCUCUUACCUGCAAAAUUGAGAAAACAACAACAGAAGUCUGCUUUGCAGAGUAAUUUUGAGAAGUAACUAUAAUAGAACAUUAAAAUCCACGAGUGAAAAAUAUGAUAAAAUGAGAAUGAGAUCAGUCGCAUCUGGUUCAAACUACUCUUCUUGACUCCAGCCAGGACAGGAGGGCUGUGUCAUUCAGUUUUUCAUCCUAUACCACGAUAUCCACCCAUGUUCCUUCUCACAGGCAUUUGAGUGUCAUUUAUUUAGAUUUCAGAAGUGUGUGUUGAUUGUUUCUAGACAACUCGAGAGAUGAUCGCUCGUUCUGCUGCUACUCUCAUCACACAUCCCUUCCAUGUGAUCACUCUGAGAUCUAUGGUACAGUUCAUUGGCAGAGAAUCCAAGUACUGUGGACUUUGUGAUUCCAUAGUAACCAUCUAUCGGGAAGAGGGCAUCCUAGGAUUUUUCGCGUGAGUAAAUGUUGAUUAGUAUGUAAUUUCUGUGUGAGAAAUUUUUCCUGAAAAUGAGGACAGUGAAUCUUUAUUCAAUCCCUGGGGAAAAUGUACUUCCUGGACUUAUCUCAUGUUACAUUCUAUGUAGGCCCCUCAUUUUUUUUCUUUUUUCUCUGCAGAAAGGCAUAUUUAGGCCCCAUAUGACCGGAAUUCUCUUGUAAAGAUCCCAAAUCUUUGCUUCUAGAUACUUAAAACAUUUGAGGCUGGGCGUGGCUCACGCUUGUAAUCCCA